AGAGUUUGAUCAUGGCUCAGAUUGAACGCUGGCGGCGUGCCUAACACAUGCAAGUCGAGCGGUAACAGGUGUAGCAAUACAUGCUGACGAGCGGCGGACGGGUGAGUAACGCUUGGGAAUCUGCCUGAUAGUGGGGGACAACCCGGGGAAACUCGGGCUAAUACCGCAUACGCACUACGGUGGAAAGCCGGGGACCGCAAGGCCUGGCGCUAACAGAUGAGCCCAAGUCGGAUUAGCUAGUUGGUAGGGUAACGGCCUACCAAGGCGACGAUCCGUAACUGGUCUGAGAGGACGACCAGUCACACCGGAACUGAGACACGGUCCGGACUCCUACGGGAGGCAGCAGUGGGGAAUAUUGGACAAUGGGCGAAAGCCUGAUCCAGCGACGCCGCGUGGGUGAAGAAGGCCUGCGGGUUGUAAAGCCCUUUCGGUGGGGAAGAAAAGCCUCGAGCUAAUACCUCGGGGUCUUGACGUAACCCAUAGAAGAAGCACCGGCUAACUCUGUGCCAGCAGCCGCGGUAAUACAGAGGGUGCGAGCGUUAAUCGGAAUUACUGGGCGUAAAGCGCGCGUAGGCGGCUUUGCAAGUCGGGUGUGAAAUCCCCAGGCUUAACCUGGGAACUGCAUUCGAGACUGCAUUGCUAGAGUAUGGGAGAGGGAAGUGGAAUUUCCGGUGUAGCGGUGAAAUGCGUAGAUAUCGGAAGGAACAUCAGUGGCGAAAGCGACUUCCUGGACCAAUACUGACGCUCAUGUGCGAAAGCGUGGGGAGCAAACAGGAUUAGAUACCCUGGUAGUCCACGCCAUAAACGAUGAGAACUGGAUGUCGGGAGGGUCUGCCUCUCGGUGUCGUAGCUAACGCGUUAAGUUCUCCGCCUGGGGAGUACGGCCGCAAGGUGAAACUCAAGGAAUUGACGG
rnacentral:rRNA from 1 species